GACGAACGCUGGCGGCGUGCUUAACACAUGCCAGUCGAACGGAAAGGCCCCCUUGUGGGGUACUCGAGUGGCGAACGGGUGAGUAACACGUGAGUAACCUACCCUUGACUUUGGGAUAACUUCGGGAAACUGGGGCUAAUACCGGAUAGGAGCUCCUGCUGCAUGGUGGGGGUUGGAAAGUUUCGGCGGUUGGGGAUGGACUCGCGGCUUAUCAGCUUGUUGGUGGGGUAGUGGCUCACCAAGGCUUUGACGGGUAGCCGGCCUGAGAGGGUGACCGGCCACAUUGGGACUGAGAUACGGCCCAGACUCCUACGGGAGGCAGCAGUGGGGAAUAUUGCACAAUGGGCGGAAGCCUGAUGCAGCAACGCCGCGUGCGGGAUGACGGCCUUCGGGUUGUAAACCGCUUUCGCCUGUGACGAAGCGUGAGUGACGGUAAUGGGUAAAGAAGCACCGGCUAACUACGUG
rnacentral:rRNA from 1 species